CAAGUAUAAUAAUUUACGCUGAACUACAGGUAACAUAUAUUAAUACAUAGUAGUUAUAUCGUUAUGUAAAUAGUAUAUAUCCAGAACACUCCUUACGUACGUUUCGUGAUGUUCCUAGUGGGCGAGCGAGAUGGUGAAGAAGGCGUCGUUUUAAGCAAUCCAAGACGGUCCGUCCCAAAUCGCCUGAGGUCUGACGUUCGAAAUCUACCGGAGGAGUCGUCAGGAAGUCUCAUGUAGUAACCUGAAGUAGAAGGAGAAUGAUGGUCGCUGAGCAAAGCUGACGAAAAGCUUCCUUCUCUUUUAUACAUGACCACGGCUUUGUACAAGAAUGGAAUCAGGCCUUCCAUUUUCUUUUAUCUUUUAAACUAUUCAAGUACUUGUGUUUUUCUUUUUUUGAUGGGGAUUCUUUGAUGGUUUUGUCUUUGUGAUCAAUAAGAUGGCUUUGGUGUAAAAUAUAAGAAGAGCGGAGAGGGUAAUGAUAGUGACGUGGCGUAAUACCUUUGAUGCCACGUAUGCUUAAACGUCACGGUAAAUAAUGGGUUUAAGGAUAUGCAUUGCAGAGGUAAUUAUAAAUAAAUAUACUUUGUGGGCCAAAAAAUGUGAAAGGAACAUCUCAACUUACACCGAAGAAAUCUUGAGCUUGAAAUAGAAUAUAUAAGAAUAAAUUAAUUUUGUAAGAAAUAUAUUCAUUCUGCUGAAGAAGAUAUUCCAUUUUUAAUCGAUAAGUCAAUAAGGAUUUUUAAAGUAGAGUAAAAAGUCGACGAACAAGUAACUGUUAUCUUAAACAUAUUAAAAUAGCUGAUUUAAAAUUAAUUUCGUAUCAAAUUACCAACCCCACUAGCCUCACAAUCUUGAAUGAAGUCAUAGUUUGCAUCAUGGAUGGGGAAAAGUUUAAAAAAAAAACUCUAUGUGAGUGUAUGCUUUGUAAAACUAAAAUUAUAGAAGAAAAAAAAGAUUGAACAGAAUAUUCAAGAUCCAAAGCACUGCACAUGCAAAGAUUUCACCGUCUUUCACAUCUUUUGGAAUUUUAUGUUCACAAACUGUAUAACUUUAAGAGCGUCCGGUUUCAUUACGGAGUUAUGUAUCCAAGUUUGAGAUACCGUUCCCGUUUCCCACACAACUGGAGAGCCACUUCGGAUCAACAACCCUCUAAUCACCUCUAUGACACUAUUUUAAAUAGAUGUGAUUUCAUACGUCUAAUCACCUCUUAUUCCCUCCAUUUUUAAUUGUAAAUAUUUUUGCUUAAAAACACGAAUAUUUAGAAAAUUGUUAUUUAAAAAAAUAUAUCAUUUAACCAAUUAAUUCAACCAAUUAUUAAAAACAUAACAUUAUUUUAUUGGUCACACAAUAUCCAAUAAAUGAAAAAAAUGCAUUGAAAUAUGUAAACUAGUUAUAUUGUGAAACAAACUUUUUUUGCUAAAACUAUUUACAUUUAGAAACGGAGAAAGUAUUUUAUAGUAGUAUGAUACUGAAAAUCUUUAUGAAAAUACCAUCGGAUAGAAAAGUAUUCGUUGUUAUUCUUCUAACUUUAACGAAAAUGUUUGGUAUCAUGAGAGUUGCAAUUAUAAUAACAUUACUUGCAAAUAUAAUAAUAGUCAAUAUACAAUUACCACACAAUCACAUGUAGACCAAUAGAUAUACGCAUCAAUCAUUCAUCAUAGUCCCUACGCAGAAACAUGGUGAUGUCCCUAGCUAUUGCGAGACAACUUUCUUUCGAACAUAUCAUGACGUACGUUCUGAUCCGAAUCGCCUGAGAGGCGAAGGUCCAAAAUCAGCGGAGGAGAGUCAUGGUCGCUGAACAAAACGGACGAUAGGCUUCUUUCUAUUUUAUACAUAACAAUGGCCUUGUACAAGAAUGGAAUCAGACCUUCCAUUUGUUUUUCAGUUACAAUCAAAAAAAAAUUUCUAUUUGUUUUCUUGUGAGAUUUCUAUGUUUUGAUGAUGGGAUUUGUGACCAAUGUGUAUUAAUAUAGAAGAGAGAAAUGUGUAGAGAUAAUGAUGUAGCGUAAUGGUUAUAUUAUGAAGCCACACACGUAUGGUCAAUCGUGAGGGUAAGUAAUGUUGUUAGUGCCUUAACGAUAAGUAACAUUGAGGAGAAAGAGAAGAAAAUGUAUAUUAAUGAGAAGGAAAGAAAAGAUGUGAAAGGAAAGUCUCAACUUACAUGAAGCAAACCUUUUGAUGAGGCCUUUGAAGUUAAUUUACAAGCAAUCUUCAGCUUUAGCUGAAAUAAAUACAUGAUUAGUUUGUUUAAUUUAAUCCUCGAAACCUAUACAAUUCUUAAUCUAACUUUUUUUAAGAAGCAUACAGUAGUAUAAUUUUGAUUUACAAUCAAAAGCAUACAAAGAAGAGAGAAAUCUUCAAAAGUCUGCACCAAAACUCCAACAUGUGGGAUAAAGACAACAGAAGUUUAUUAUUUUAUAGUUUCAUUUUUUACCCUUUCCAUGCAUAAUGGACUAUAGUUAAUGGGCCAGGGCUUUCGAAGGAAUUAUAUUAUUUUGACGGUUGAGAUUAUUAUCCUAGAUUUAAAGUAUGGCCCGUUACGGCCCAGUUAUCUUAUCGUCUUCAACUAAUCCGAUUCGAACGUGGCGAAAUGAUGAUGACCGGAGACGAGAUCGUCGAGUUCGAGGCGGUAGAUCUGCUUUGUAGUGAUUAAUUUUUGUGAGUAAGAUUUGAUCACUGAUCUAUAUGUUUGUUGUUUAUGAGAAGAUAUUUGGUAGAAAUAGGUUCUGGUUUUGGUUGGAUCUUCUUAUCUUCUCGUAUAAGAACUCUGAUUCAGUAAUUGUGUUUUCUUAGAAGAAUUGAGAGAUGAGUUCAAUGGGGGAAGAUGAAGUUAGCUCCUUUUUCGAAUCGUCUCCGCCUCUCAAGAAGAUGGAAGAUAUACUACAGAAGCUUAACGGCUUCAUCGAGCACAAUUCUUCAGGAGGGAGGAGGAGGAUCGUAUGCGUGACGUCAGGCGGAACUACGGUUCCACUGGAGCAGCGAUGCGUAAGAAAUAUCGAUAACUUCAGCUCUGGAAACAGAGGUGCUGCUUCUACUGAGUAAGUUUUGUCUUUUUCUUUUCAAUCACUCUCUUAUAUAAUUUUAGAUGUUUUAUUCUCCGGUCUAAAUUUGUUUUUGAUUAUGUUGCAAAGGAACUUCGUCAAGGCUGGAUAUGCUGUAGUGUUUCUGUAUAGGAGGUACGGUACUUUUCUUUUUGUUCUGGAUUGUGUGAUAAUGGUGGUGCUCUCUCUCUCUCUCUCUCUCUCUCUUAUAUCGACUCUUUAGUGGAACUUGCCAGCCAUAUUGCCGGUCUCUUCCUGAUGAUCCAUUCCUUGAAUGUUUUCAGUUUCCAGAUAACACCAACAUUCAAGGUAUUUGUCUUUCUUUCUCCAUCUAUAUCCAUAGAUUUAUCUUUAAUCAGAUGUUUUGUACGGUCUUUUUUUUUUUGUUUGUUUUCAGUUCAUGCAUCACAUGUGGAAGCUGUGAAAAUGGCUGUUAUGGACCAGCAAGCUGUAUGAAUUAAACCACUUGUUUCCUUUUUAAUGUGUUUGUUUUACCCCAAAAAAAAAAAAAAAAUUUAUCACUUUAUUUUUGUGUGUUUUUGAACAUUGCAGGCAGUAGCUGAAGCUCGCUUACUGAAGCUCCCAUUCACAACCAUCUAUGAGUAUCUUCAGGUACAAGAAUCCGGCUUAUCGCAAAUUCUUCGACAGAGUUGCAGCUGAAGUUGAUUUUGGUGCUGUAAAUGUUUUAUGUUACAGAUGUUGCGGUUGAUUGCAACGGCAUUCAAAGACGUCGGUCCAUGUUCAAUGUUUUAUCUUGCUGCUGCUGUGUCUGACUUUUAUGUGCCCUGGAAUAGCAUGGUAAGAGUCUCAUGCCCGUAUUACUAUGCCUUUUUUUUUUCUUUUGGUCUGAAAAACUACUUUUUGUAUGUUUGGUGAAACCAGACAGAGCACAAAAUAGAAUCAGGAUCUGGUCCUUUGGACAUAAGACUUGCUCAAGUUCCCAAAAUGCUUUCAAUCUUGAGAACAAAUUGGGCUCCACAGGCUUUCUGCAUAUCAUUCAAGGUCCAAUCUCUCUAUUCUCUUUUGUAUCUAAUUCUCUUUUGUAUAGUUUACUUCUCUUAAAAUUUGAUAAAAACUUAUUAUUGAUAUUUGGAUCCAGCUUGAGACAGACUCAAAGAUUCUGAUAGACAAGGCUACAAAGGCUCUAGGAAAGUACAAAGUGCACGCUGUUGUAGCUAAUGAGCUGUCAACACGUAAGGAAGAAGUUGUGGUUGUUUCAAGCAGCGGUAAUGUUGUGGUUAGGCGUGAUAGCGAUAAGCCUGAAGCUAUUGUAGAAGACAAUCUUAUUCGCCUCAUUGUAGAUCGGCACUCAACAUACAUCAAAGAAUCUCACACUUGAUUUCUCAAAUGCUUCCAAGUCAAAAACAUGUAUGAAUCUUUCAUCCACUCAACAGAAACAAUCUAUAUAGUUUCCUCCUCUCUUUGUAUUUGUGUACGCUAUGUGAAAGAAUGAUGACUAGGUUUUUGACCAUUGAUCAUUAAUUUCACAUUUUAUUUAUUAAACGAGCAAGAGUUUUCUUGAAAAUGGAAAAAAAAGUCACCAUCUAUUUAGUUUUAUUAUAAUUAAGAUCCAACUAUUUAGUUUGUAACAAUCAUACAUGAGAUUUUUUAAGUUUUUAAAUACUCAAAAUUUAUUUGCACCCCAUUAAAGUCAAAUAUUCAACAUAUAUUUUCAAGCCAUGAAAAGGUUUAACAAUUUCGACUGUGACAAAAGUAAUUAUCAAUUACCGAAUCAACUUCGUUGACAGAGAAGAAUGCAUAAGCAACACGAAAUCAAGUAUUUACAUAAUACAUAUGAUAAAUAAGAUGUUUGCUAUAGAAAAAAAAUUCACAUAUGAUAGAUAUUACACACUUUUUCUUUUGAAUGAUCACACUUUAAUUUACAAGUGCACACAAUAUUGACAAAUCCACUACACAAAUUAUAAAUACAUGAUCGAUCCACCGUAAACUAUUAACAUCUUUGUUAAAUUCCAUCAUCAUAAUUCUGGAUGUCCUUAUAUUUACAGUUUAACCAUGAUUAUGAUGACUUAACAAAACGUAGUUUUACAUGCAAGUAUAAUAAUUUACGCUGAACUACAGGUAACAUAUAUUAAUACAUAGUAGUUAUAUCGUUAUGUAAAUAGUAUAUAUCCAGAACACUCCUUACGUACGUUUCGUGAUGUUCCUAGUGGGCGAGCGAGAUGGUGAAGAAGGCGUCGUUUUAAGCAAUCCAAGACGGUCCGUCCCAAAUCGCCUGAGGUCUGACGUUCGAAAUCUACCGGAGGAGUCGUCAGGAAGUCUCAUGUAGUAACCUGAAGUAGAAGGAGAAUGAUGGUCGCUGAGCAAAGCUGACGAAAAGCUUCCUUCUCUUUUAUACAU
rnacentral:lncRNA from 1 species